AGCGAACGCUGGCGGCAGGCUUAACACAUGCAAGUCGAGCGCCCGUAGCAAUACGGGAGCGGCAGACGGGUGAGUAACACGUGGGAACGUGCCCUUUGGUUCGGAAUAACUCAGGGAAACUUGAGCUAAUACCGGAUAAGCCCUUACGGGGAAAGAUUUAUUGCCGAAGGAGCGGCCCGCGUCCGAUUAGCUAGUUGGUGAGGUAAUGGCUCACCAAGGCUACGAUCGGUAGCUGGUCUGAGAGGAUGACCAGCCACACUGGGACUGAGACACGGCCCAGACUCCUACGGGAGGCAGCAGUGGGGAAUAUUGGACAAUGGGGGCAACCCUGAUCCAGCCAUGCCGCGUGGAUGAUGAAGGCCUUAGGGUUGUAAAGUCCUUUUAACGGGGAAGAUAAUGACGGUACCCGUAGAAUAAGCCCCGGCUAACUUCGUGCCAGCCGCCGC
rnacentral:rRNA from 1 species